GAUCAGCUAUAGCUCUGGAGUUUUUGCAGAUUUUCAAAUAAAACUCAGAGAUUCCUUGUAUGAUUCUCUCAUAUCUCUCUUUUGUGGUAUUUCUGGAUCCUUACCAAGGCAGUGAUAGUAUAUGUCUUCUCUUAAAAUAUGUAAUAUUUGUGGUAUAAGGCAUAGUGACAUUGCCUUCUCUCUCACCCUACUCUAAUAAGGCUUUAAUAUCUGGAGCUCAUAGGUGGGAGAUAAAGUAUGCAUACUUACAAGACAUUUAUUGUAUAGUCAAACCAUGGAUCCAAAGAAACAAAUCAAUAAGUCAAAUCAAGAUGUGCAUGUGUGGCGAAUGAAUGGUGUAUGGUGAUGAUGGUGAUAACAAUGGUGAAAGUCUAAUUCUACUUGUGCUCUUUUGAGAGGAUACAUACCUUUCUUGCUCUUUUGAAACUUUUUGAGGAGAAUGAGAUGCUCUACUUUUUCUUUUUCUUUCCUCUCAGGUGGGUAUUCUGUACCCCUAAUUCUACUGUCGGACACUUGUCCAUUUUUACCUCUCGUCUCACUUUUUCUUUUCUUUCGAGGUUCCGGGCACUUGCCCCUUUUUAUUUCCUCGUAUCCUUUCUCUUCUUUUUUUUAGAGCACUCAUCUCUUGAAAUAAUGUAGGAGGUGGUAGUAACCAAGAUAACUUGAGCAUUUAUUUCACAGGGGAAAACAAAAAUAUUUUUGGCUAUUCUCUCCUAGAUUAGGAGUAGAAUAUUUUUAAGUGGUUCUGGAGAUGGAAAUGAGUGGAUAUAUGUGGAUGCGUACUUCCGGAGUAGAAGCAGCAUGUGUGAGUGAACGUGCAAGUGAAACUUGAUUUAACCACAUGACAAGCUCCUAAGGGUCUACACAGCUUGACCACACUCAAUGCUCAUAAGCAGUAAAAAGUAAAUGUGU
rnacentral:lncRNA from 1 species